rnacentral:lncRNA from 1 species
AUAUAUGAGUUCUAAUUACAUAUAUAUAACUGAGGCUAGAAGUGGUUGUAAAAUACAAUGUCAAAAUAUAAAAGAGGGCCACUUCUUUCACUAUGCUAUUGGACUCAUCAGAGUACGGGAACGAUCAUGCACUCAAGUUUUGCGGAUCUAUGGGAUACUCAUAAACUUCAAUGGGUAGUUCAGUUGGCGAUUCCUCAUUUUCUUCCUCAUCUAGGAGGAGGGCAUGGAAAAAGUAAGUUUCAUAUGCUCAGUAAGAAAAAUAAUAUUUAAAUAAUAUCGUAAGGUU